GACGAGGAGGCUAAGAGGCGCUUUUGGGAGGGCUUGGAUGAUCUGGUGAGUAGUAUUUCCCAAUAUGAGAAAUUUGGAGGGGAUUUUGAUGAUCAUUUUGGGGCUGAUGUUGGUGGUUAUAGUGAGGUGCACGGUGGCUUUCGCUUUGGAGUUAGGAACGGAGGAGGCACGUCACUGCUUGAUUUCGCCAGGGCUUCCGACAUUCUGAUUGUGAACUCGACAUUUCAAAAGAGGGAGGAACAUUUAGUCACCUUCAAGAGUUCGGCGGCGAGGGCUCAGAUUGAUUACUUCCUCCUCAGAAGGAGCGACAGGGGUAUGUGCAAGGACUGCAAGGUUAUUC
rnacentral:lncRNA from 1 species